CCUAGGGGUGCAGCAGUAAGGAAUAUUGCGCAAUGGAGGCAACUCUGACGCAGCCAUGCCGCGUGCAGGAAGAAGGCCUUAUGGGUCGUAAACUGCUUUUAUUUAGGAAUAAACCCCCGAACGUGUUCGGGGCUGAAGGUACUAAACGAAUAAGCACCGGCUAACUCCGUGCCAGCAGCCGCGGUAAUACGGAGGGUGCAAGCGUUAUCCGGAUUUAUUGGGUUUAAAGGGUGCGCAGGCGGGCUAUUAAGUCAGUGGUGAAAUCCCGGGGCUCAACUCCGGAACUGCCAUUGAUACUGAUAGUCUUGAGUUUGGUUGAAGUGGGCGGAAUGUAGCAUGUAGCGGUGAAAUGCAUAGAUAUGCUACAGAACACCAAUCGCGAAGGCAGCUCACUAAGCCAAAACUGACGCUCAUGCACGAAAGCGUGGGGAUCAAACAGGAUUAGAUACCCCCGUAGUC
rnacentral:rRNA from 1 species